GAUUAACGCUGGCGGCGUGCAUAACACAUGCAAGUCGAACGAUGAAACUUAACUGAUUUCUUCGGAAUGAUUUUAAGUGGAUUAGUGGCGGACGGGUGAUUAACGCGUGAGUAACCUGCCUUGGAGAAGGGGAUAGCCUUUGGAAACGAAGAAUAAUACCCUAUGAUAUGAUAAUAUCUCAUGAUAUUAUCAUCAAAGAUUUAUCGCUCUAAGAUGGACUUGCGUCUGAUUAGUUAGUUGGUGAGGUAACAGCUCACCAAGGCAGCGAUCAGUAGCCGGCUUGAGAGAAUGGACGGGCACAUUGGGACUGAGACAAGGCCCAGACUCCUACGGGAGGGCGCAGUGGGGAAUUUUGCACAAUGGGGGAAACCCUGAUGCAGCGACGCCGCGUGAUUUAGAAGGCCUUCAGGUUGUAAAAAUCUUUUGUAUGGGAAGAAAAUGACAGUACCAUACGAAUAAGGACCGGCUAAUUACGUG
rnacentral:rRNA from 1 species